CAAUAGCGUAUAUUAAAGUUGUUGCAGUUAAAAAGCUCGUAGUUGGAUUUCUGGUGAGAUGAAUUAUGUCUGGAUGGAAACGUCUCGUACAUGGCUUGUUUUGCCCUUCUUGUCAGGAACCCGUUGGGAUCCACUUCUCGACGGUGGAAUGGCAUCGUUUACUGUGAAAAAAUUAGAGUGUUCAAAGCAGGCAUCGCCGUUGAAUACAUUAGCAUGGAAUAAUAAGAUAAGACUUUGGUGGUCUAUUUUGUUGGUUUGCACGCCAAAGUAAUGAUUAAUAGGGAUAGUUGGGGGGAUUCGUAUUCUAUUGCUAGAGGUGAAAUUCUUAAAUUUAUGGAAGACGAACUACUGCGAAAGCAUUUACCAAGGAUGGUUUCAUUAA
rnacentral:rRNA from 1 species